AAAAUUUCCGAUGCGACUAUAAAAUUUUAACAAUAUUUCUUUCUCUUUUCGGUCUCAAAUUUUUAAAGAUAUUUGAAAUAUGUUUAGUGCAGUAGCUAUAUUUUUCGUUUUAAUCAGUGUCCAAGCUCAUCAAAACCCUCCACAGAACGAUGCAGAUCUACAGUCAGAACUCAUGCCGCAAGAACUCAACCCAGAGUUUGUUUCGGCGCAGGAGCCGUAUAAAAUAUCGCUGCCCCUCACCCCCCGCGGAAAGCGUUCCCCUUCGACCCUAGGGUCGUUUUACACGACCCAAUUAAAACACUAUUCAAGAAUAGCCUCAUGCGUGGUGUUGGCUCUCACUGCAGUCAUUGAGAUCGUUUUGUUCAUCUUAGAGCAAUAUCUAGUGGUGUAAAUAAAUGAGUUUUGGGAAA